rnacentral:rRNA from 1 species
AGUCAUAUGCUUGUCUCAAAGAUUAAGCCAUGCAUGUCUCAGUACAAGCCGCAUUAAGGUGAAACCGCGAAAGGCUCAUUAAAUCAGUUAUGGUUCCUUAGAUCGUACCCACACUUACUUGGAUAACUGUGGUAAUUCUAGAGCUAAUACAUGCAAACAGAGCUCCGACCGGAGACGGGAGGAGUGCUUUUAUUAGAACAAAACUAAUCGGCGGCGGGGGCGUCCGCGCUCUCGUUCGCCGCACUAUCUGGUGACUCUGAAUAACUUUCAGCUGAUCGCACGGUCUCGCACCGGCGACGUAUCUUUCAAAUGUCUGCCUUAUCAACUGUCGAUGGUAGGUUCUGCGCCUACCAUGGUCGUAACGGGUAACGGGGAAUCAGGGUUCGAUUCCGGAGAGGGAGCCUGAGAAACGGCUACCACAUCCAAGGAAGGCAGCAGGCGCGCAAAUUACCCACUCCCGGCACGGGGAGGUAGUGACGAAAAAUAACGAUACGGGACUCAUCCGAGGCCCCGUAAUCGGAAUGAGUACACUUUAAAUCCUUUAACAAGGACCAAUUGGAGGGCAAGUCUGGUGCCAGCAGCCGCGGUAACUCCAGCUCCAAUAGCGUA